rnacentral:rRNA from 1 species
CUAACCUUUUAGGAGGUAGCCGUCCACGGUAGGAUCAGCGACUGGUGCUAAGUCGUAACAAGGUAGCCGUAUCGGAAGGUGCGGCUGGAUCACCUCCUUUCUAAGGA